rnacentral:lncRNA from 12 species
AUAUACCCUUCACUCUGCUUUCAGAAUGCUCCCCCGGCCAGGACAUCUCCAGCAAGGACGUCUCCAGCAGGGGCGUCGCCAGCCUGGGCAUCUCCAGCCCGGGCCUCCCCUUCUAGGUCAUCGUCUGCCAGGUCAGCCUCCACGACAUCCUCUCCAACGAGAGUGUACCUUGUUAGAGCAACACCAGUGGGGGCCGUGCCCAUCCGGGCAUCUCCUGCCAGGUCAGCGCCAGCCACCAGAGCCACCGAGGAGAGCACAGGUAUCGGCUUGCCCAAGUUCACCUGGCAGGAGGGCCAGAAGCGGCUGCCGCUCAUCGGAUGUGUCCUCCUCCUCAUCGCCCUCGUGGUGUCACUCAUCAUUCUCCUCUACUUCUGGCGAGGCCACACGGGGAUCAAGUACAAGGAGCCGGUGGAGAGCUGCCCCACCCAUGCUGUGCGCUGUGAUGGGGUCGUGGACUGUAAGCUGAGGAGUGAUGAGCUGGGCUGUGUGAGGUUUGACUGGGACAAGUCUCUGCUUCAAGUCUACUCUGGGUCCUCCCACCAGUGGCUUCCCAUUUGCAGUGAGAGCUGGAAUGAUUCCUACUCGGAGAAGACCUGCCAGCAGCUGGGUUUCGUGAGUGCUUACCGGACAACCGAGGUGGCCCAUAGGGAUCUUGCCCACAGCUUCUCCAUCUCCAAAUACAACUCUACCCUCCAGGAAAGCCUCUACAGGUCUGAAUGCCCUUCCCAGCGGUAUGUCUCUCUCCAGUGUUCCCACUGUGGGCUGAGGGCCCUGACCGGGCGGAUCGUGGGAGGGGCGCUGGCCCCAGAGAGCAAGUGGCCUUGGCAAGUCAGUCUGCACUAUGGCACCACGCACAUUUGCGGGGGCACGCUGAUCGACGCCCAGUGGGUGCUCACCGCUGCCCACUGCUUCUUUGUGACCCGGGAGAAGAUCCUGGAGGGCUGGAAGGUCUACGCGGGCACCAGCAACCUCCUCCAGCUGCCUGAGGCAGCCUCCAUCUCCCAGAUCAUCAUCAACGGGAACUACACGGAUGAGGAGGACGACUAUGACAUCGCCCUCAUGCAGCUCUCCAAGCCCCUGACCCUAUCUGCUCACAUCCACCCUGCCUGCCUCCCUAUGCAUGGACAGACCUUCAAUCUCAAUGAAACCUGCUGGAUCACAGGUUUUGGCAAGACCAAGGAGACCGAUGAGAAGACCUCUCCCUUCCUCCGGGAGGUGCAGGUCAACCUCAUCGACUUUAAGAAAUGCAAUGACUUCUUGGUCUAUGACAGUUACCUUACCCCAAGGAUGAUGUGUGCUGGGGACCUGCGGGGAGGCAGAGACUCCUGCCAGGGAGACAGCGGGGGACCCCUGGUCUGCGAGCAGAACAACCGCUGGUACCUGGCAGGAGUCACUAGCUGGGGCACGGGCUGUGGCCAGAGAAACAAGCCCGGUGUGUACACCAAAGUGACAGAAGUCCUCCCCUGGAUUUACAGCAAGAUGGAGGUCUUCAGAAACCAGGAGAGCCGUCAGUUCUUCCCAAAUCCCAGGCUGGAAAGCACCUGGCGUUAA